rnacentral:lncRNA from 1 species
AUUCAUCUAAUUUGAAAUUACAAGUCCUAGCUAAUUUUUCUAAUAUAGUGUUAUUAACAUGACACAAUCUGCCAUGCCAUAGACCAUAUGUAUCUUUAACUACACUAGUAGAUGCUAGUAGACUAGAAGCAUAAAAUCCAGCAGCUUUGACUUGAAAACCCUGCCUUAGAUGAUAAAGACCCAGCACUACUGCCAUUCAGAAAAAUCUUCCCCGUCUUCUUGUCCUUAGCCAUAAAACCAAAUUCAUUCAAUAUAAAAUCACAAU